GACGAACGCUGGCGGCGUGCCUAAUACAUGCAAGUCGAGCGCAGGAAGUCGACGGAACCCUUCGGGGGGAAGUCGACGGAAUGAGCGGCGGACGGGUGAGUAACACGUAAAGAACCUGCCCUCAGGUCUGGGAUAACCACGAGAAAUCGGGGCUAAUACCGGAUGGGGCAUCGGACCGCAUGGUCCGAGGAUGAAAGGCGCUUCGGGGUCCGCGGGGGUUGGCUUUGCGGUACAUUAGCUAGUUGGGGGGGUAAUGGCCCACCAAGGCGACGAUGCAUAGCCGACCUGAGAGGGUGAUCGGCCACACUGGGACUGAGACACGGCCAAGACGCCUACGGGAGGCAGCAGUAGGGAAUCUUCCACAAUGGACGAAAGUCUGAUGGAGCAACGCCGCGUGAACGAUGAAGGCCUUCGGGUCGUAAAGUUCUGUUGUAAGGGAAGAACAAGUGCCGCAGGCAAUGGCGGCACCUUGACGGUACCUUGCGAGAAAGCCACGGCUAACUACGUGCCAGCCGCCGCGGUAACAC
rnacentral:rRNA from 1 species